GGGCCCGCACAAGCGGUGGAGCAUGUGGUUUAAUUCGAUGAUACGCGAGGAACCUUACCAAGGCUUAAAUGUAGAGGGACAGGCGGCGAAAGUUGCCCUUCUUCGGACUCUCUACAAGGUGCUGCAUGGUUGUCGUCAGCUCGUGCCGUGAGGUGUCAGGUUAAGUCCUAUAACGAGCGCAACCCCUGUUGUUAGUUGCCAUCGAGUCAUGUCGGGAACUCUAACAAGACUGCCGGUGCAAACCGUGAGGAAGGUGGGGAUGACGUCAAAUCAUCACGGCCCUUACGUCCUGGGCUACACACGUGCUACAAUGGCCGGUACAGAGAGCAGCCACUACGCGAGUAGGCGCGAAUCUUCAAAGCCGGUCUCAGUUCGGAUCGGAGUCUGCAACUCGACUCCGUG
rnacentral:rRNA from 1 species